rnacentral:rRNA from 1 species
UGGGGAAUAUUGCACAAUGGGCGAAAGCCUGAUGCAGCAACGCCGCGUGAGUGAUGAAGGCCUUCGGGUUGUAAAGCUCUGUCUUUUGGGACGAUAAUGACGGUACCAAAGGAGGAAGCCACGGCUAACUACGUGCCAGCAGCCGCGGUAAUACGUAGGUGGCAAGCGUUGUCCGGAUUUACUGGGCGUAAAGGAUGCGUAGGCGGAUUUUUAAGUGGAGAUGACUGAAAACCUAGUCAUAACUUGGGGGACUGCAUUUCAUACUGGAAAUCUAGAGUGCGGGAGAGGAGAAUGGAAUUCCUAGUGUAGCGGUGAAAUGCGUAGAGAUUAGGAAGAACACCAGUGGCGAAGGCGAUUCUCUGGACCGUAACUGACGCUGAGGCAUGAAAGCGUGGGUAGCAAACAGGAUUAGAUACCCUGGUAGUCCACGCCGUAAACGAUGAGUACUAGGUGUAGGAGGUAUCGACCCCUUCUGUGCCGCAGUUAACACAAUAAGUACUCCGCCUGGGAAGUACGAUCGCAAGAUU